rnacentral:lncRNA from 1 species
CUCGUUCUGGUGUUAUUUUUGGAGAUGACUUCGGUUUCCGUAGUUGGCUUUCUCUGGGAUCAGAGUCAUGGUCUGCAGCAGCGCCUGCCAAGCCAAACUUUUCCCUGGGUGAGAAGCACGAGCUAACCCACGUGCAGACCUGAGCCCGGGGUCGCGCUGCAACUGCAUCUGUGAAACCUCUUUCUCAAAUAUUACUCUUUGCCUCCGUGGAAAAACAGCAUCGUUAGCAAAGAUGACAAGUAGGCAAAGGUUUCCCCGCACGCCACCAGAGGGGCAGUGCUUAGAACUGGAAAUGGCUGUGUAACCUACUUUCCUUUGGUUUUAAAAUAACAGCGCAUAGAUUUGCAUUUGUUUUUCAUUCUUGGCCCUGCGACCCCUGCUCCCGUUUCCCUUGAUAAAUUCCAUCUCGCCUUCCACACGCGGCCCUUCAGGGCUGAACACUUCCUAACGUCUUUCGUCAACCUGCUUUUAGAUCCUAUGAGAACCAAUACAGAGGAGAUCCCCGAGAAGAACAUCUGUCGAGAAAAAUACCAAAUGGGGGAGCCACCGGGAGAAUAUAAAAUAAAGC